UACAGAGGUGGCAAGCGUUGUUCGGAAUUACUGGGCGUAAAGGGCGCGUAGGCGGUCUUGCAAGUCCUGUGUGAAAUCCCUCGGCUCAACUGAGGAACUGCACAGGAAACUGCUUGGCUUGAGUUCGGGAGAGGGAAGCGGAAUUCCGGGUGUAGCGGUGAAAUGCGCAGAUAUCAGGAAGAACACCAAUGGCGAAGGCAGCUCUCUGGGACGGUACUGACGCUGAGACGCGAAAGCGUGGGGAGCGAACAGG
rnacentral:rRNA from 1 species